UACGUAGGCAGCAAGCGUUGUUCGGAGUUACUGGGCGUAAAGGGCGCGUAGGCGGCUCGGCACGUCCGUUGUGAAAUCGCCCGGCUCAACUGGGCGGGGUCAGCGGAUACGGCCGAGCUUGAGCAAGCUAGGGGGCAAUGGAAUUCCCGGUGUAGUGGUGGAAUGCGUAGAUAUCGGGAGGAACACCAGUGGCGAAGGCGGUUGCCUGGGGCUUUGCUGACGCUGAUGCGCGAAAGCGUGGGGAGCGAUCCGG
rnacentral:rRNA from 1 species